rnacentral:rRNA from 1 species
UACGUAGGGGGCAAGCGUUGUCCGGAAUGACUGGGCGUAAAGGGAGUGUAGGCGGCCGACCAAGUUAUGUGUGAAAGCCCGCGGCUUAACCGCGGAACGGCACAUAAAACUGGACGGCUGGAGUGCAGGAGAGGCAAGUGGAAUUCCUAGUGUAGCGGUGGAAUGCGUAGAUAUUAGGAGGAACACCAGUGGCGAAGGCGGCUUGCUGGACUGUAACUGACGCUGAGGCUCGAAAGCGUGGGGAGCAAACAGG